GUGAGGUGUAGUCGCGGCAACCAGGAGGUGGGCGUGUGGUAACGCGGCGCGCGGGAGGGUGGCUUGAAAGGGUCUUUAUGAACCCUAGGGAAAGGCCGUCUGGUAGGAACUCCAUUUCAAGACCUUUUAAAGUGAGACCUGCAUAUGUUGAAAGAGUUUCAGAGAGUGAAGCUGGGUUCUUAGAAGCUGGAAUGUCCCAGCAGAAUGUAGAAAUGCGAAAAAUUCGGCACAGUAGUCUAAAGUGCACCCACCACUAGAAUUUGAACAUCCUAAGAACAGGUAUUUUUGUCUCUGCUUUGCUGAUGUAUCCUCAGCAACCGGAACUGCCUGACAUCUGAUCCUUUCUGUGAGACACCAGGCUGUUGAGGAAGAAUCUAUGGCAACAUUGUAUCUAUUAAUAUACAGCUUCUGUAUUUAUCAGUCCUGUUUCCAUGAUUUUCCAGUGGCUCUCAGUACAUUCACUAGUCUCUAUGACUGUUAAUCCAGGCUUUUCUUGAGGCCCAGUUCUGGUGAUGAUUUCACUUUUGACAGAAGCUGUCCCUCAAAAGCAAACAUGCAAUAGAAGAAACAGAUCUCAAUGCCAUCCAUCUGCAGUUGUGACAAGCAAAAAAGUCUCCAGACAUGGCCAAAUGUCCCCUGGGGGGCAAAAUCACCCCCAAUU
rnacentral:lncRNA from 10 species